rnacentral:tRNA from 1 species
GGUCUGGUAGUUCAGAUGGUUAGAAUACGUGCCUGUCACACACGAGGUCAUGGGUUCGAAUCCCAUCCAGACCGCCU